rnacentral:rRNA from 1 species
GACGAACGCUGGCGGCGUGCUUAACACAUGCAAGUCGAACGGUGAAGCGCCUUCCUUUUUGGUGGGUGUGGAUGAGUGGCGAACGGGUGAGUAACACGUGAGUAACCUGCCCCCUUCUUCUGGAUAACCGCAUGAAAGUGUGGCUAAUACGGGAUAUUCUGGGUCUGUCGCAUGAUGGGUCUGGGAAAGAUAUUGUUUCGGAGGGGGAUGGGCUCGCGGCCUAUCAGCUUGUUGGUGGGGUGAUGGCCUACCAAGGCGGUGGCGGGUAGCCGGCCUGAGAGGGUGGACGAGUACACUGGGACGGAGACACGGCCCAGACUCCUACGGGAGGCAGCAGUGGGGAAUAGUGCACAAUGGGCGCAAGCCUGAUGCAGCGACGCCGCGUGAGGGAUGGAGGCCUUCGGGUUGUGAACCUCUUUCGCCAGUGAAGCAGGCCUGCCUCGUUUGUGGGUGGGUUGACGGUAGCUGGAUAAGAAGCGCCGGCUAACUACGUG